rnacentral:rRNA from 1 species
CAGCCGCCACGGUAAUACGAAGGGUGCAAGCGUUAAUCGGAAUUACUGGGCGUAAAGCGUGCGUAGGCGGUUUGUUAAGUCUGCUGUGAAAUCCCUGGGCUCAACCUGGGACGUGCAGUGGAGACUGGCAAGCUAGAGUGUGAUAGAGGAUGGUGGAAUUCCCGGUGUAGCGGUGAAAUGCGUAGAGAUCGGGAAGAACAUCAGUGGCGAAGGCGGCCAUCUGGAUCAACACUGACGCUGAGGCACGAAAGCGUGGGGAGCAAACAGGAUUAGAUACCCCAGUAGUCCCUGUCUCUUAUAC